UAAUAAGUGUUUUAUAGCACUUUUUAAAUCCAUAUCCACCUUGUGUGCAAUGUCAGUCGAUCUUCUUCAUGGAGAUCGACCAAACAUCAACCUUUAUUUUUUAACUCUCUGUCUGAAAAAUAUUAUGAAUAAACAAUUCAAAAUA
rnacentral:misc_RNA from 1 species